ACUUAAAUUGAAGAGUUUGAUCAUGGCUCAGAUUGAACGCUGGCGGCAGGCCUAACACAUGCAAGUCGAGCGGUAGCACAGAGAGCUUGCUCUCGGGUGACGAGCGGCGGACGGGUGAGUAAUGUCUGGGAAACUGCCUGAUGGAGGGGGAUAACUACUGGAAACGGUAGCUAAUACCGCAUAACGUCGCAAGACCAAAGUGGGGGACCUUCGGGCCUCAUGCCAUCAGAUGUGCCCAGAUGGGAUUAGCUAGUAGGUGGGGUAACGGCUCACCUAGGCGACGAUCCCUAGCUGGUCUGAGAGGAUGACCAGCCACACUGGAACUGAGACACGGUCCAGACUCCUACGGGAGGCAGCAGUGGGGAAUAUUGCACAAUGGGCGCAAGCCUGAUGCAGCCAUGCCGCGUGUGUGAAGAAGGCCUUCGGGUUGUAAAGCACUUUCAGCGGGGAGGAAGGCGUUAAGGUUAAUAACCUUGGCGAUUGACGUUACCCGCAGAAGAAGCACCGGCUAACUCCGUGCCAGCAGCCGCGGUAAUACGGAGGGUGCAAGCGUUAAUCGGAAUUACUGGGCGUAAAGCGCACGCAGGCGGUCUGUCAAGUCGGAUGUGAAAUCCCCGGGCUCAACCUGGGAACUGCAUUCGAAACUGGCAGGCUAGAGUCUUGUAGAGGGGGGUAGAAUUCCAGGUGUAGCGGUGAAAUGCGUAGAGAUCUGGAGGAAUACCGGUGGCGAAGGCGGCCCCCUGGACAAAGACUGACGCUCAGGUGCGAAAGCGUGGGGAGCAAACAGGAUUAGAUACCCUGGUAGUCCACGCCGUAAACGAUGUCGAUUUGGAGGUUGUGCCCUUGAGGCGUGGCUUCCGGAGCUAACGCGUUAAAUCGACCGCCUGGGGAGUACGGCCGCAAGGUUAAAACUCAAAUGAAUUGACGGGGGCCCGCACAAGCGGUGGAGCAUGUGGUUUAAUUCGAUGCAACGCGAAGAACCUUACCUGGUCUUGACAUCCACAGAACUUUCCAGAGAUGGAUUGGUGCCUUCGGGAACUGUGAGACAGGUGCUGCAUGGCUGUCGUCAGCUCGUGUUGUGAAAUGUUGGGUUAAGUCCCGCAACGAGCGCAACCCUUAUCCUUUGUUGCCAGCGGUUAGGCCGGGAACUCAAAGGAGACUGCCAGUGAUAAACUGGAGGAAGGUGGGGAUGACGUCAAGUCAUCAUGGCCCUUACGACCAGGGCUACACACGUGCUACAAUGGCAUAUACAAAGAGAAGCGACCUCGCGAGAGCAAGCGGACCUCAUAAAGUAUGUCGUAGUCCGGAUUGGAGUCUGCAACUCGACUCCAUGAAGUCGGAAUCGCUAGUAAUCGUAGAUCAGAAUGCUACGGUGAAUACGUUCCCGGGCCUUGUACACACCGCCCGUCACACCAUGGGAGUGGGUUGCAAAAGAAGUAGGUAGCUUAACCUUCGGGAGGGCGCUUACCACUUUGUGAUUCAUGACUGGGGUGAAGUCGUAACAAGGUAACCGUAGGGGAACCUGCGGUUGGAUCACCUCCUUACCUUAAAGAA
rnacentral:rRNA from 3 species